rnacentral:rRNA from 1 species
AGAGUUUGAUCCUGGCUCAGGAUGAACGCUAGCGGCAGGCUUAAUACAUGCAAGUCGAGGGGCAGCAGGUCUGUAGCAAUACAGAUGCUGGCGACCGGCAAACGGGUGCGGAACACGUACACAACCUUCCUUUGAGCGGGGAAUAGCCCGGGGAAACCCGGAUUAAUACCCCAUAGUAUGGUGAAGAGGCAUCUCUUUACUCUUAAAGAUUUAUCACUUAAAGAUGGGUGUGCGGCUGAUUAGGUAGUUGGCGGGGUAACGGCCCACCAAGCCUACGAUCAGUAACUGGUGUGAGAGCACGACCAGUCACACGGGCACUGAGACACGGGCCCGACUCCUACGGGAGGCAGCAGUAAGGAAUAUUGGUCAAUGGACGAAAGUCUGAACCAGCCAUGCCGCGUGGAGGAUGAAGGUCCUCUGGAUUGUAAACUUCUUUUAUAUGGGACGAAAAAAGGGAAUUCUUUCUCGUCUGACGGUACCAUAUGAAUAAGCACCGGCUAACUCCGUGCCAGCAGCCGCGGUAAUACGGAGGGUGCAAGCGUUAUCCGGAUUCACUGGGUUUAAAGGGUGCGUAGGUGGGUUGGUAAGUCAGUGGUGAAAUCCCCGAGCUUAACUUGGGAACUGCCCAUUGAUACUAUCAGUCUUGAAUACCGUGGAGGUUAGCGGAAUAUGUCAUGUAGCGGUGAAAUGCUUAGAUAUGACAUAGAACACCAAUUGCGAAGGGCAGCUGGCUACACGAAUAUUGACACUGAGGCACGAAAGCGUGGGGAUCAAACAGGAUUAGAUACCCUGGUAGUCCA